rnacentral:lncRNA from 1 species
AUGAAUGAUAAAGGUACUGAAAUUUAAAUUGCAUAAAGUAAAUGACUUGAAAUUAAAGCAACAUUAAUAAGAGUUAGUCAAAUGUUAGUUGUGUUAUUGGUGAGUAUCAAUUGACUAAGUCAUUCUUUGGAGAACACUCAACCAUUCAUUUAGAAGUAUGAAUCAUUAAACUAAGACAUCUUCCAUGAGAAGGGCUCCA